rnacentral:rRNA from 1 species
AGAUUGAACGCUGGCGGCAGGCCUAACACAUGCAAGUCGAGCGGUAGAGAGGUGCUUGCACCUCUUGAGAGCGGCGGACGGGUGAGUAAUGCCUAGGAAUCUGCCUAGUGGGUGGGGGAUAACGUUCGGAAACGGACGCUAAUACCGCAUACGUCCUACGGGAGAAAGCGGGGGACCUUCGGGCCUCGCGCCAUUAGAUGAGCCUAGGUCGGAUUAGCUAGUUGGUGAGGUAAUGGCUCACCAAGGCGACGAUCCGUAACUGGUCUAGAGAGGAUGAUCAGUCAACACUGGAACUGAGACCACGGUCCAGACUCCGACGGGAGCAGCAGUGGGAAUAGUUGGACAAGUGGGACGAAAAGCCUAGA